rnacentral:rRNA from 1 species
AUGGGGGGACCAUCCUCCAAGGCUAAAUACUCCUGACUGACCGAUAGUGAACCAGUACCGUGAGGGAAAGGCGAAAAGAACCCCGGCGAGGGGAGUGAAAAAGAACCUGAAACCGUGUACGUACAAGCAGUGGGAGCACCUUCGGGUGUGACUGCGUACCUUUUGUAUAAUGGGUCAGCGACUUAUAUUCUGUAGCAAGGUUAACCGUAUAGGGGAGCCGCAGGGAAACCGAGUCUUAACUGGGCGUUAAGUUGCAGGGUAUAGACCCGAAACCCGGUGAUCUAGCCAUGGGCAGGUUGAAGGUUGGGUAACACUAACUGGAGGACCGAACCGACUAAUGUUGAAAAAUUAGCGGAUGACUUGUGGCUGGGGGUGAAAGGCCAAUCAAACCGGGAGAUAGCUGGUUCUCCCCGAAAGCUAUUUAGGUAGCGCCUCGUGAACUCAUCUUCGGGGGUAGAGCACUGUUUCGGCUAGGGGGUCAUCCCGACUUACCAACCCGAUGCAAACUACGAAUACCGAAGAAUGUUAUCACGGGAGACACACGGCGGGUGCUAACGUCCGUCGUGAAGAGGGAAACAACCCAGACCGCCAGCUAAGGUCCCAAAGUCAUGGUUAAGUGGGAAACGAUGUGGGAAGGCACAGACAGCCAGGAUGUUGGCUUAGAAGCAGCCAUCAUUUAAAGAAAGCGUAAUAGCUCACUGGUCGAGUCGGCCUGCGCGGAAGAUGUAACGGGGCUAAACCAUGCACCGAAGCUGCGGCAGCGACACUAUGUGUUGUUGGGUA